GUGCUCCCUUCAACAGCACAUAUAAUAAAACUGGAACAAUACAGAGAAGAUUAGCAUGGCUCCUGCGCAAAGAGAACGCACAAAUUAAUGAAGUGUUCCAUGUUUUG